AUUGAACGCUGGCGGCAGGCCUAACACAUGCAAGUCGAACGAGUGGCGGACGGGUGAGUAAUGUCUGGGAAACUGCCCGAUGGAGGGGGAUAACUACUGGAAACGGUAGCUAAUACCGCAUACCAUCGGAUGUGCCCAGAUGGGAUUAGCUAGUAGGGGGGGUAACGGCUCACCUAGGCGACGAUGCCUAGCUGGUCUGAGAGGAUGACCAGCCCCACUGGAACGGUGACACGGUCCAGACUCGUACGGGAGGCAUCAGUGGGGAAUAUUGCACAGUGGGCGCAAGCCUGAUGCAGCCAUGCGGCGUGUAUGAAGAAGGCCUUCGGGGUGUAAAGUCCUUUCAGCGAGGAGGCGGUACUCGCAGAAGAAGCACCGGCGAACUCCGUGCCAGCAGCCGCGGUAAUUC
rnacentral:rRNA from 1 species